UCCCCAGUGUUUAGCACAAAGCCUGGCAUAUAGUAGGUGCUUAAUAAAUGUUUAUUGACAUGCAUGUUGAUUGAAAUUCAUGAAGCACUCACUAUGUGUCAGACACUGUUAGGUGCAGAGGUUCCAAAGAAAAGCAAAGCCAGUCUCUGACCUCAAGGAGUUCGUUUUCUAACAAGGGAGACAGCAUAUACUGUUCAACUGCUUCUGCCCCACAUUCAAUGAGGCCAAGAGCUGGAAAAAUAUUCAGAUUUUAAUCUGCUGGCUGAUCCAUUGCUGUUCUGGCCCAGAGGAGACGGGAGAAUGGCUUGGAAUCAAGGAAGAAAAUCUGGAUUAAGGUCCUAUCUCAGAGACCUAAUAGCUACAUACCCUGGGAAAUCACUUAGAUUCUCUGACUCUGCUUCAUUGUCUGUAGAAUAGGGAUCAUAAUACCUGAUGCAUCUAACCCCUGGAUUGUUGCGAGGGCCCACAAGAGAUAACUUGUGUAAUGGUAGCUCUUUGUGAUGGCAAAGAAUUGGAAAUUGAGGGGAUGCCCAUCAACUGGGGAUUGGCUGAACAAGCUGU